AUGCCAAGUAUGGCUGGAUCACUUCCUUCUCACCUCCAGUCUGUGCCUUGCCAGGCUAAGCAAGCAGCCACCUGAGGCAGGGAGGAAGACGGGCACCCAAGACUGCCAGGCUCCAAGCGGGGAAUGAAGGCACAGCCUCCCAACUUGGGAAGUCUGGGUAGAGGAGUGAGAAAGCACCGGGCCCUCUGCUGCUCGCAUCCCACUCUCAGAAGGGUGCUUGGAGGUACCGACCAACACACAAGCCGGCUCACUGUACAUUCUUUUUCUCCUUUCAGCUGCACAUAACUCUGCCAGGAGCAUUCGCUUACCCACUUUACAGAAAGGCUUCAAGACAAUCAAUUCCCAGUGGCCUCAAGCCAGUGUCAAAACCCUCCUGAAAGACCCCUCACACUACACUCUGGCUCUUCUGCCAUGACAUUCCUGCUUUGGAGCCAGCUGACCAUGGACUAAAACUGCUGAAACUCCCUGGGGACCAAGCUUCUGCUUCAACAAAAAACCAGCCACUUAUCAACCUGCUCCUGGCACUAUGCUGGCUGAUGACUGGUUGAAGGGAGAGAGGACUCCUUUAAAAAUAUGUACAAAAGCCAGACAUUGUGGGGCACAGCUGUAAUCCCAGCUACUCAAGAGGAUGAAGCAGGAGAU